rnacentral:rRNA from 1 species
CCCUUAGAUGUUCUGGGCCGCACGCGUGCUACACUGAGUGGAUCAGCGGGUCAGGUUACGCGAGAGCGUUUCCUAAUCUUCAAAUCCGCUCGUGAUGGAGAUUGACGGUUGCAAUUUUCCGUCAUGAACGAGGAAUACCUUGUAAGCGCGGGUCAUCAUCCCGCGCUGAAUACGUCCCUGCCCUUUGUACACACCGCCCGUCGCUCCUACCGAUUGAGUGGUCCGGUGAGGCUUUGGGAUCUAAGCGAAAAGAGCGUUUCGCUCCUUUUGCUGGGAGAACUCAGUCGAACCUUAUCAUUUAGAGGAAGGAGAAGUCGUAACA